UAUGGCCGUUCUUAGUUGGUGGGUUGCCUUGUCAGGUUGAUUCCGGUAACGAACGAGACCUCAGCCUGCUAAAUAUGUCACGAUUGGCUCGCCAGUCAGCGGACUUCUUAGAGGGACUAUUGGCGACUAGCCAAUGGAAGCAUGAGGCAAUAACAGGUCUGUGAUGCCCUUAGAUGUUCUGGGCCGCACGCGCGCUACACUGAUGCAUUCAACGAGCCUAGCCUUGGCCGAGAGGCCCGGGUAAUCUUUGAAACUGCAUCGUGAUGGGGAUAGAUUAUUGCAAUUAUUAAUCUUCAACGAGGAAUGCCUAGUAAGCGCAAGUCAUCAGCUUUAAUCAUGCAGAGCUGAAGAGCGGGCCUGCAAAGGGUCACCCGCUAGUCCCGAGCCCGACUCGGGGCGACACCCUCAAAUUGCCUGGAACUCCCGCCAAGCCCCUGGUACCGUUGUCAAUGGGAAACUGUUGAUUACACUUCGAUGAAAGUCGAAGGCAUGGUAAAAAUCCAGUGGGAUAGGGAUGAUGGGCAGCCAAGCCCUAAGGGGGCCUACUACGGUAGGUCUCUAUGGGUGCAGUUCACAGACUAAAUGUGGGUGGGCUUGACUGAUACCCUAUCAGAGUUUCAAACACAAAAGCAAAGCAAACGCUAAAUCCUCGCUAAAGUCAGGAACUUCUUCUUCAAAAAGCUAAAAAGGAACCUCCAAAUUUCUAGAGCAUGAGAUGCCACGUGUACUGCCACGUCAGCAUAUUGCCACGUCAGCGGUGACGUGGAGCCAUAUCACUUCCAGCUGGGCAAUCACCUUUUCUGUUUGCUUGAAACUCUGAGAACAUCAGUAAAGUUUAAGAUAUAGUCGGCCCCCUCCGAGAGGAGAGCCCUUGGGAGGAUUCUGUUGUUUGCAUCAGAUGAGAGCCCUUGGGAAACGGUGUAAUACUCGAUGGUGAAAGCCUCCGAGGGCGUCUGAGCCUACCGUUUGGAUCCAUGCGGCGUUGAUUACGUCCCUGCCCUUUGUACACACCGCCCGUCGCUCCUACCGAUUGGGUGUGCUGGUGAAGUGUUCGGAUUGGCGACCGGGGGCGGUCUCCGCUCUCGGCCGCCGAAAAGUUCAUUAAACCCUCCCACCUAGAGGAAGGAGAAGUCGUAACAAGA
rnacentral:ncRNA from 1 species